rnacentral:rRNA from 1 species
AUUGAACGCUGGCGGCAGGCCUAACACAUGCAAGUCGAACGAGUGGCGGACGGGUGAGUAAUGUCUGGGAAACUGCCGGAUGGAGGGGGAUAACUACUGGAAACGGUAGCUAAUACAGACUAGCAUCAGAUGUGCCCAGAUGGGAUUAGCUGGUUGGUGGGGUAACGGAUCACCAAGGCGACGAUCCCUAGCUGGUCUGAGAGGAUGACCAGCCACUCUGGAACUGAGACACGGUCCAGACUCCUACGGGAUGCAUCAGUGGGGAAUAUUGCACAAUUGGCGCAAGCCUGAUGCAGCCAUGCCGCGUGUAUGAAGAAGGCCUUCUGGUUGUAAAGUACUUUCAGCGGGGAGGCGUUACCCGCAGAAGAAGCACCGGCUAACUCCGUGCCAGCCGUCGCGGUAAUUC